rnacentral:rRNA from 1 species
CGACUGGCGGCGCACAUAAGACAUGCAAGUCGAACGGAAGUCGUUAUAUGGAUUUGAAGAGAACGGAGAACUUGUUCAAAGGGACAUGAUGAAGAAAUAUAACAAUGGCUUUAGUGGCGGACUGGUGAGUAAUACGUAAGCAACCUGCCUAUCAGAGGGGAACAACAGUUAGAAAUGACUGCUAAUACCGCAUAUGCCAUAAGUAUCGCAUGAUACAAGUGGGAAAGGAGUAAUCCGCUGAUAGAUGGGCUUACGGCUGAUUAGCUAGUUGGUGGGGUAACGGCCUACCAAGGCGACGAUCAGUAGCCGGACUGAGAGGUUCAACGGCCACAUUGGGACUGAGAUACGGCCCAGACUCCUACGGGAGGCAGCAGUCGGGAAUUUUGCGCAAUGGAGGAAACUCCUGACGCAGUGACGCCGCGUGCAGGAAGAAGGUUUUCGGAUUGUAAACUGCUUUAGACAGGGAAGAAAAAGGACAGUACCUGUAGAAUAAGCUCCGGCUAACUACGUGCCAGCCGCCGC